rnacentral:rRNA from 1 species
UACGGGGGGCAGCAGUAGGGAAUCUUCGGCAAUGGACGAAAGUCUGACCGAGCAACGCCGCGUGAGUGAAGAAGGUUUUCGGAUCGUAAAACUCUGUUGUUAGAGAAGAACAAGGACGUUAGUAACUGAACGUCCCCUGACGGUAUCUAACCAGAAAGCCACGGCUAACUACGUGCCAGCAGCCGCGGUAAUACGUAGGUGGCAAGCGUUGUCCGGAUUUAUUGGGCGUAAAGCGAGCGCAGGCGGUUUCUUAAGUCUGAUGUGAAAGCCCCCGGCUCAACCGGGGAGGGUCAUUGGAAACUGGGAGACUUGAGUGCAGAAGAGGAGAGUGGAAUUCCAUGUGUAGCGGUGAAAUGCGUAGAUAUAUGGAGGAACACCAGUGGCGAAGGCGGCUCUCUGGUCUGUAACUGACGCUGAGGCUCGAAAGCGUGGGGAGCAAACAGGAUUAGAUAC